GCGAAGAGAUGGCGGAGUCGUUGAGGUCUCCGCGCCGCUCCCUGUACAAACUGGUGGGCUCGCCGCCUUGGAAAGAGGCUUUCCGGCAGAGAUGCCUGGAGAGAAUGAGAAACAGCCGGGACAGGCUCCUAAACAGGUACCGCCAGGCUGGAAGCAGUGGGCCAGGGAAUUCUCAGAACAGCUUUCUAGUUCAAGAGGUGAUGGAAGAAGAGUGGAAUGCUUUGCAGUCAGUGGAGAAUUGUCCAGAAGACUUGGCUCAGUUGGAGGAGCUGAUAGACAUGGCUGUGCUGGAGGAAAUUCAACAGGAGCUGAUCAACCAAGAGCAGUCCAUCAUCAGCGAGUAUGAGAAGAGCUUGCAGUUUGAUGAAAAGUGUCUCAGCAUCAUGCUGGCUGAGUGGGAGGCAAACCCACUCAUCUGUCCUGUAUGUACAAAGUAAGAGUUUUUAAAACCUUUUCAGCAUUAUUCGUUCCCAUUCCCCACUCCAAGGUGAGUGGAAUCUCCCCCAAGAUUUGUUACCUGAAAAGGUUUGGAGAUCCAGGUCUGGUGGCCAUGAUGCUCUGGGAUCCUAAUUCUGCUUCUAGGUACAACCUGAGAAUCACAAGCGGUGUGGUGGUGUGUCAGUGUGGCCUGUCCAUCCCAUCUCAUGUGAGUGUUCCACACACGGAUUUCAUGAUACUUCUUCCCACAUGGAUCUACUUUCUUGAAGAUCCUCCAGUGCUGACUUGGAGCCCAUUGUGCAUAUUUCUUCCCAGUUUUAUGUUCAGUGGUGUCACAUUGGUAGCUUCAAAUCAGCCAUGGUGAGAAUAUCUAUGGCAUGAAAAUUGGCAAACAGUACACAUCAGAGCCUUUAGGGCCCUGGAGAGCCAUCACCGCUUAACGUUUUUAUGGAGACCUCAGCUUGGGAUUGGAAACGCCUGUAUCUGAUGUUUCAUAAAAAUUUUCUAUAUAUGAAGACAUACCUAAUUCAGAAUUUAAGCUUCAGUAAUUUUUUUUUUUUUUUUUUUUUGAGACAUAGUCUCACUCUGUUGCCCAGGCUGGAGUACAGUGGCGUGAUUUAGGCUCACUGCAACCUCUGCCUUGCGGGUUCAAGUCAUUCUCCUGCCUCAGCCUCCCAAGUAGCUGGGAUUACAGGUGCCUGCCACCACGCCCAGCUAAUUUUUUUUUAAUUUUUAGUAGAGAUGGGUUUUCACCAUCUUGGCCAGGCUGGUCUCGAACUCCUGACUUCGUGAUCCACCCACUUCAGCCUUCCAAAGUGCUGGGAUUACAGGUGUGAGCCACUGCGCUCGGCCUUCAGUAAUCUUAAAAUACAGAAAAAGCCCUUUUAUCUGGCAUGAUGGGGACUGCAAGUUUGCCAGUUAAUUGAGCAAUUGGUUAAAGAGGCAAAUUAUAAAAAUAAAAUGUUUUAUGGUAAGUUUCAAAUACAUAAAUUUAUUUGCCAGCCUUUGAGUGGGGCCCUGCUGAUUGGAGAGCUGAGUCACCUGUUUUAUUUUUUAUUUUAUUUGAGACAGAGUCUCACUCUGUCACCCAGGCUGGAGUGCAGUGGUGUGAUCUCUGCUCACUGCAACCUCCACCUCCAGAGUUCAAGUGAAUCUCCUGCCUCAGCCUCCUGAGUAGCUGGGAUUACAGGCACGUGCCAGCAUGCCUGGCUAAUUUUUGUAUUUUUAGUAGAGACGGGGUUUCACCAUGUUGGUCACGCUGGUCUCGAACUCCUGACUUCAGGUGAUCCGCCCACCUCGGCCUCCCAAAGUGUUGGGAUUACAAGCGUGAGCCACUGUGCCUCGCUGAGUCACCUUUUUUACAUAAAUAACUUCUAUAAUACAUAGUCCAGAGUUUCCGGUUUUAAUUCCAUAAAGUGGAUCAAGAAACUGAGUAUACAACUCAGGAAUUUUUCCUCCCCAUCUUUUACCUAAUUCUAUAGCUCUUUUUCUUUCUUUCUUUCUUUUUUUUUUUUUAAGCAGCUCAUCUGUUUGUUUCCUAAACAUUCUACUUAUCACUAUAAAAAUAAAACUUAUUAUUUACAUAAUAAGUCAUUAGCGUUACUGAGUUACAGUAGGAAGUUCAAGUAACCCAAGCAGACCCGGGAGCAUAUACUGCUAGUUGUUGGUAAGGAUGCACUCAGCUGGUGGGGGCAGAGGCAGAGGGAGGCUGGAAAGUAGCCUACAAUCUCUGAGCGUUCUUCCUGCCAUGAGUGGCCAUCAGUGUGUUUGACAGCAGGAGUAGAGGGCGUUGGUUAAUCUGGAGAGGCAGUUAAAUGGAGAUGGGUUAAGAGAUCUUGGUACAGUCAUGGGCCCAAGAGUGUCUUUAAGGCUCCAAGGAGUCAAGCCAUCACAGUGAGCCACGGUUAUAUUGGUUGGCAUGAGGAAUGAGGAUUUUCCAUCUGUUGGCUAUCAAGUCACUGAGAGGAGGUUGAACUUUUUUAUUUUGUAGUCUUCUGAGUUGACAGAGCAGAAGCUUCGUGCCUGUUUAGAGGGUAGUAUAAAUGAGCACAGUGCACAUUGUCCCCACACACCUGAAUUUUCAGUCACUGGAGGAACAGAAGAAAAGUCCAGUCUUCUCAUGAGCUGUCUGGCCUGUGAUACUUGGGCUGUGAUCCUCUAGAGGCAGCUUGGACUCACAUCAUUCUAUGGGGUUGAAGACAACUCAUUCCCUCUGAGGAGCCUUGUACAUACAAGCCUUUUAUUUAUAACUUAUUUUGUAUUGAAACUUUUAAACAAUACUGAAGAAAAAAAAA
rnacentral:sRNA from 1 species